UCGGAGAUGACAAUGAUGAAUUCAUUGAUCAAUAAUAGUAUCUUGCUGGAUGCUAGUUGGCAUCCGUCAAAUGGCACAUGUUUGCUGUUAUUGCCUUUCGGUAUGUUCAGGCUUAGCUUGGUGUUGACAUGUUCCCUUCAUCGAUUGCAAGCAUCCUUACGUCAAACUUUUGCUCUCGAUUCCAUCGAUGGUCUGUAGUCCUAGUGAAACAAUCCGUAUAAUUAGCAAUGAAAUUUCUAUAUCUUCGAGUUGCGUCGGCUGGAUUAGUCGGCUUCUGCUCCAUAUCUUGGAAUUCUCUGAUGGACUUCUGCUCAUUGAAGAAGUUGAUUGCCUGGGCACAGGUGUCUCGGAAUUGUUUCCGCUAGCCAUAGCAGGAUAUCUGACUAGGAGAUAGCGUACAUCAAGAUGAACGCCUGCUAAUUCUAGAUCUCAGCCUGAUGUUUUGAAUGUGGGCAUCUUCCAGACUUGUACGUUCUUCGGGGUGGCAGCACGGUUCAAUAGCAAUGUGCCAAAUUAUAACACUCCAGUCGAAAUCCAGAUCAAGAAUCCAUUUAAGUGUACCCAACGUUUUAGCCCAAUCGAGUAUGCAACCGCCUCUAAAGGUGCGUAUAGCUUGGAGGCAUGGUCAGUCGUUUUAUAUCGUCUGUCAUUUCCUCGUGGCUCCCAUACAGAUGUUUCUCCACCUUGUGUUUGAUGUGUAGGAGUUCCCGGAGUUGGACCAUCUCUGCCUUCUCGACAGUGUUUGUAUCCAAUUGAUGAAAUUCAAGGUGUGAGACAUUUCAUUCUUCGUCAGCCAACAAGCAAGUCCCAUUAGAGAAAAAGAGAACCAGCAAUGCGUAUAAUUCUAAAAAGU
rnacentral:lncRNA from 1 species